rnacentral:lncRNA from 1 species
CUAACUUUCCUUUAGUGCUCCACCCUGAUAUAUCACCGUAUCCUGGAUAAUCAUGUAUCGUCCACAGAAGUGAUGCAAACAUCUUAAAAGAUUUCUGCGUACGUACAUCAAAAGCUGUAACACCUUCUGCCCAUAAAAUCUUCAGUUCAUCGAUAAGCGGUUGAAGAUAGACAUCUAUAUCGUUCCCUGGAGCUGACGGACCGGAAAUUAGUAGAGACAACAUGAAAUUCGGUUGUUUCAUACACAUCCAAGGUGGAA